rnacentral:rRNA from 1 species
UACAUGGGGUGCAAACGUUGUUCGGAAUUACUGGGCGUAAAGGGCGCGUAGGCGGCCUACUAAGUCAGACGUGAAAUCCCCCGGCUUAACCUGGGAACUGCGUCUGAUACUGGAAGGCUUGAGGAUGGGAGAGGGAUGUAGAAUUCCAGGUGUAGCGGUGAAAUGCGUAGAUAUCUGGAGGAAUACCGGUGGCGAAGGCGGCAUCCUGGACCAUUACUGACGCUGAGGCGCGAAAGCUAGGGGAGCAAACGGG